rnacentral:rRNA from 1 species
GCUUGCUUCUCUGUCGGCGAGUGGCGAACGGGUGAGUAUAGCAUCGGAACGUGCCAAGUAGUGGGGGAUAACCAAACGAAAGUUUGGCUAAUACCGCGUAAGCUCCAAGGAGGAAAGUAGGGGACCUAAAUAAGGCCUUACGCUAUUUGAUCGGCCGAUGUCGGAUUAGCUAGUUGGUGGGGUAAUGGCUCACCAAGGCAAUGAUCCGUAGCGGGUCUGAGAGGACGAUCCGCCACACUGGGACUGAGACACGGCCCAGACUCCUACGGGAGGCAGCAGUGGGGAAUUUUGGACAAUGGGGGAAACCCUGAUCCAGCCAUGCCGCGUGUAUGAAGAAGGCCUUAGGGUUGUAAAGUACUUUUGUUAGGGAAGAAAAGCUAGUUUUUAAUAAAAAUUAGUGAUGACGGUACCUAAAGAAUAAGCACCGGCUAACUACGUGCCAGCAGCCGCGGUAAUACGUAGGGUGCAAGCGUUAAUCGGAAUUAUUGGGCGUAAAGCGAGUGCAGACGGUUACUUAAGCCAGAUGUGAAAUCCCCAAGCUUAACUUGGGACGUGCAUUUGGAACUGGGUGACUAGAGUGUGUCAGAGGGAGGUAGAAUUCCACAUGUAGCGGUGGAAUGCGUAGAGAUGUGGAGGAAUACCGAUGGCGAAGGCAGCCUCCU